UACGUAGGUGACAAGCGUUAUCCGGAAUUACUGGGCGUAAAGCGCACGCAGGUGGGUACUUAAGUCUGACGUGAAAGCUCCUGGCUUAACUGGGAGAGGUCGUUGGAAACUGAGUGGCUUGAGGCGAUGAGAGGGGUAUGGAAUUCCCGGUGUAGUGGUGGAAUGCGUAGAGAUCGGGAGGAACACCAGUGGCGAAAGCGAUGCCCUAGCGUGAGCCUGACGCUUAUGCGCGAAAGCGUGGGGAGCGAAGGGG
rnacentral:rRNA from 1 species